UGAUAGAGGUGCGGAAGUCAUCAGUACCGCGGGGCACAAAGGCGUGCGACCGACCUGCGGGAAAGGGACUUUUGCCGAAGGGGACUCUGUCCGCACGGGCGGGUCUGCCUGGGCCAGCGGAAAACAUCCGUUGGACUGUCACCUUGGUGUGGAGCGCUAUCA
rnacentral:ncRNA from 1 species